GGAUAAGAACCCCUUCCCCUCCCUUGUCCAAGUGUGUGCUCACCAUUGCUCCAUCUGUAAGGGUGUACCCUUCUGUAGAAGUACCUUGCCUUGCUGAGAAUUAAAAAGAAAAUUUUAUAUUCGAGUACUAGUUCUUUUGCAGCACCGAAACUUUAUUUAUAACAAUUUGGGGCCUCACCGGUGAUUACAUUAUCCUCCGGGGGCGGUCUCUGGUUCUCUCUUCUGAGGAGACAUGCCCCGCCCCCUUGUGGCGGCCUCGGGGGUGAGAACUCAAGACCCACUCAGUGCGAGGAAUAACCGCAGCUCUCAGCAACGCGCAGGGGAGGGGCUGGGGGGAGGGACUGGCCAGCAACCUAGCUUAAAGGAUCCUCAUAGACUGCAGCGACGAUUCUGUGCACAGACUAAGGAAGGAGAAGCUGCAGGAACCGUUUCCUGAGUUGCAAGUUUAGGCUCUUGGCUGUAAACAGUUCUUCUUUCCUAAUGAAAACAAGCUUAUGUUACUAUAGAAGAAUGAGAGAUCACCUGGGCAAAUAUAAGACAUUUUAGAUGAUCCAUAAUAGAAUUACUAACCUCCAGUCUGUCUGCCAGCUCCACAAAGACACAAGAGCAAACCCAGAAAUUCUGAGAACCUUCCUUGAAAUCAUUGAACAGCAAAUGAACAAGCUGUUGCCAACCUGGGGUAGAAGACAGCAGAUGGCUUUGUCAAACUUGUAUUUGUCCCUGGGGUAAAGGGCUUCAAUGCUGAGCAUCGAGCAUAAGGAGUUGGAGAAAGAGAUGUGGGUGAUUUACCUCUGCCAUAGAUAUCGGAUUGGCAAAAAUAAAUGAAUUUCAUCUGAAGAGAAUUAACACAAGCAUACACAUAUACACAGGAGUGCACAUAAAAAUUAAUCUUCAAGAGGAUAGAAACAGGGGAUGGUGUAGUUCCUGCCAUGAAGUACAGAUCAACUGGUACCAGAGAUUCAAAAUUGUGGAAUGGAUCAUGGGGAUUUCUCUCUUCCCUGUCAUAAAGAGUAAUUCAAUCAGGAAAACUGACAUGCAUUGUUGUAUUGUGGGUGCAACAGCUGAGAAGAUGAAAAAGACAUAGAGAAAGGGGAUAUUGGAAAUAAAAGGAUGUUAAAAUGAUAUAAUUUUUAAGAAGGUUGAGAAGGAAUAUGGGAUAUUUAUAUUCCUCUAAAUUUGAUAGAUAAUGAUGUCCACAAAGAAGAGUUUGCUGAAAUAAUUUUAAAUUUUGGUGAGCACAGACUAUCAAUGCCAAACGCAAUGGGUAAUUUUCUGUGUCAGCUUGGCUAGGCUGUGAUCUCCAAGUGUUUGUUCAAACAGCAAUCGUAGAUGUCCUUGUGAAGGUAUUUUUAGGUAAGAUUAACAUUUAAAUCAGUAGUCUUUGAGUAAAGCAGAUGACCUGCAAUAAUGUGAGUGGGUCUCAAAUUUGUUUUAAGUUGAAGGCCUUAAGAGAGAAAGAUUAAGGUCAUCCAUGAAAGAGGGAAUUCUGCUACCAGAUUGCAUUUGGACUCAAGCUGCAAUAUCAGCUCUUCCCUGGGUCUCCAACCUGACAGCCUGUCCUAUAGAUAAGAGCUUGCCAGUCCCCACAAUCACAUGACACAUGAGCCAGUCCUUUUUUUUUUAGCCAAUUCUUUAAAAUUCUUCUCCUCUCUCUCUCUCUCUCUCCCCCGCCUCUCCCUCUCUCUCUCCCUUCUUUCUCUGUGUAUACACAUGCACGCGUGCACGCGCGCACACACACACACACACACACACACUCAUCCUAUUAGUUCCGUUUCUCUGGAGAACCCAGACUAAUGUACUUCCUCAGUAAUUGUUUUAGCAUUCUGGAUUCUGUUACUUUACUAUCAGCCUUAAAAUUGCAAAAAGAAGAAGGAAAGUUUUAUCAACCAUUUCAGACACUAAGUUUUCAGCCUUUUGGGAUCAAGGAAAAUACAAUCCAUAUGUUUUGGACUCACUUGCUAUUAUCCAGAACAUUAUAUCGGAGAUGGUUUAAAAUUUCUGGCUGGUUCAAUAUACGCAAAUCAAUAAAUGUAAUCCAGCAUAUAAACAGAACCAAAGACAAAAACCACAUGAUUAUCUCAAUAGAUGCAGAAAAAGC
rnacentral:lncRNA from 1 species